rnacentral:sRNA from 1 species
AGCUUAUCGAGACCCUCUCUGCCCAGCUGCCUCUGCUCCUUCCUCCUCCUCCUCCUCCUCCAAGUGUCUUCCAGCUAUGCAGGGCAGUUCAGAGUGAUAGGACCAAGACACCCUAUCCGGGCUCUGGUCGGGGAUGAAGUGGAAUUGCCAUGUCGCAUAUCUCCUGGGAAGAACGCUACAGGCAUGGAGGUGGGGUGGUACCGCCCCCCCUUCUCUAGGGUGGUUCAUCUCUACAGAAAUGGCAAGGACCAAGAUGGAGACCAGGCACCUGAAUAUCGGGGCCGGACAGAGCUGCUGAAAGAUGCUAUUGGUGAGGGAAAGGUGACUCUCAGGAUCCGGAAUGUAAGGUUCUCAGAUGAAGGAGGUUUCACCUGCUUCUUCCGAGAUCAUUCUUAUCAAGAGGAGGCAGCAAUGGAAUUGAAAGUAGAAGGAUUGGUUGCAGUGGCACGAUCAUGGCUCAUUGCAGCCUCCACCUCCCAGGCUCAAGUGAUCCUCCUGACUCAGCCUCUUGAAUAG